CUGGCCUCACCACUGGGCACAUUAUAUACACUGGCAUUUUUAUAUUUUUCUUCCAGAGGGAAAUGAUGUGCUGGAGGGCAUUGGUUUGCUUAAUGAGGACAAUUUACCCAGCGAGGGGCCAGACUUAACCUCCAUGGCCCAUGGGAAUACGGGGCUCCGUGGGAGAGGAGAUGAAUCCAGCAGCCUUUAUGGUAAUAGCUCAACUACCACAACUCCCUCGUUUCCCCCGCUGAAAACGAGUGCACCCAUCAGGCCACGGCCUGUUCAGUCAAGUGUCCAGGAGACAGCGGAUCUGGCCCUGGCCAUCAGCCAGCAGUGGAGGGAGGAUAUGUCAGCCAUGCGUAAAGAGUUAGCUGAGCUCAGGAAGGAUCUGUGCACUGAGCUCAGAGCUUUCAACAGGAACUUUUCCACCUUUACGCAACAUUACAGCACCUGGUCACCGAGCUGGGUAAGGGAAACCCAGACAGCUGCUCCUCAAGUGUCCGUCAGCACCCAGGCUGGAAGCAAGACCCUGGUGCGACAGAACACAGCAGACGCAGCGGUUAACUGCCCGUCACCGGUUGAUGCCAACGUUUUAUCCAUGUCUCCUUCAGAACCCGCAGAUAGAAAUGUCCUGCAAGUCUCUGCCUCUUCACCAUUCUUUCAAACUGACCCCAACUCUGAAUUUUCAGACAUUGAUGAUCCUACUUUUGCAAAUCUUACCCCUCCAGAUCCUAUUGAUGUGGCGUCACUUUGUUGGCCUGAUCUAGAUUCGGACUCCAUGACUCCUCCAGAUCCCCCAGAACCAGUGCCAGAGGUAGAACCGUAUUGCUUUACGAAGUCAUCCACUUCUGAGCAUGUGGAAUCAGUUGUUUUAGACUUCACAAAUGUAGAGCUAGUGAACCUGGCCAGUCUGCAGUGGCCUAAACUGGAUCCGGAUGAUACUGACACUCUACCCCAAGAAUUUCUUGAUUGUCCCUCUCGAGAAUCUCCAGAACAACCUGGUACAAAUACACCAGACCAUGAUAGCAUUACUACACAGGAACAGUCGGUUAUAGAAUCUAUGCAGACGUUUUUGCUGAGUCAUCC
rnacentral:lncRNA from 1 species